rnacentral:rRNA from 1 species
UACGAAGGGGGCUAGCGUUGCUCGGAAUCACUGGGCGUAAAGCGCACGUAGGCGGCUUUUUAAGUCAGGGGUGAAGUCCUGGAGCUCAACUCCAGAACUGCCUUCGAUACUGGAAAGCUCGAGUCCGGGAGAGGUGAGUGGAACUGCGAGUGUAGAGGUGAAAUUCGUAGAUAUUCGCAAGAACACCAGUGGCGAAGGCGGCUCACUGGCCCGGUACUGACGCUGAGGUGCGAAAGCGUGGGGAGCAAACAGG